GUGGCCCAGGCUGGAGUGCAGUGGAGAUAUCUCAGCUUACAGCAACCUCCGCCUCCCAGGCUCAAGCCAUCCUCACCUCAGCCUCCCAAGUAGCUGGGAUGCACCACCGCGCCCAGCUAAUUUUUGUAUUUUUGGGGUAGAGACGGUAUUUCGCCAUGUUGCCCAUCUGGUCUCCAACUCCUAGGCUCAAGCGAUCCUCCUGCCUCAGUCUCCCAAAGUGCUACGAUUAGAAGUGUGAGCCACCACACCCAGCUGGUUACUUUUUUUAGUGCAAAAAUUGAGUCAUGCUAUAUAAACAUCACUUGUUUUUUACCUUUUAUAUGUACUACAUCACUUUGAAAAUGUGAUGACAUUGACCCUUUUCCCCAGAAAAAUGAACAUUCUCACUAAAUUCUGUAGAUAAUUUCUCGGCAUUCAUGAACUACAUGAAGCCAUUCAUGGGCAAGGACUCCAGGCUAAGAACCCUGGUAGCUUUUUUCAAAAUUUUCAAAAAUUUAACUCCUGGGCUCCUUCCAUCUUAUCCCCAGCAUCUGAACACCUCUCCGUGCCAAUAACUGUUUCCAACACCAUAUUCUUCUAAUGGCUGUGUUAUGUUCUGCUUUAUGGAGUCCUAUAACUUUCAAUAAAAGUGAUCACCAUGUUCCAUGAAUUACCCCUGCAAUUCAUCCUUACGGCAGCCCGUGGAAGUGUUCCCGUUUUACAGAUAAAGCUCAGCGGCGUUAUGACAGCCGCCAUGUGGCAGAUCCAGGAUUGAAAAAAAGGUCUGUCCAACUCCUAAUGCCGCAUUCUUCACUUCCAGACUCUCCUUGUUUAUUGAAGCCUUUCUGCGUGAGUCAAUCUCUCCAAAUAUGCCUGGUGCCACUGUAAGCCGCACCAUGGACCGAUCCCUUCCUUUGGGCCUUCUCCCUGAACCUCUCCAAGGGAGAAUCUGUGCUGUCUCUUCAGGAACUGGGUUAAGGAUGGCUGGGGUUCUCAGGAACUGUGUUGUCUGGCCCCCAGAAAGCUCUGGGUGUGGGCCCUUCCCCCCAAGCCUCCUGAAGCUCUGGAGAAGCCUCCUGGGGCCUGGCUGAUUGGGGUUUCCUGGAAUCGUGUUGGCGAGGAGGAGGGAGCCGGCCAGAAAAUGGAAGUGGACGUAUGGACGGACCAAGGCUCUGCGAUGCUCAGUACUGAGAGAAGCACCAGCACCACUUGGUGGCACACAAAGAUGGAGAGAAGAAUUCCGCCCAGGAAGGUUUCAGGGAGGGAGGGGGCUUUGGGACUGGCCUUGAAGCCAGAGUGGGGACUGUGAGGGAGGCCACUUUUUGCUUAGGGAAAAGCAAGAAUGUUGCCCCACUGCCCUCACCUGCCCACCCCUCAACAAGACUGUGGCUUUCUCAGGAGCAGAGACUUUGUCUUCCACCAUGUGGUUAAGUCCUGGGCUAAGUCAAAGCCUUCACAACCAUUAUACAGGUGGGAAGCCUGAGGCUCAGGCAGAAGUGGUCAGGUUAGAGCUCAAACUCAAGCGCUGGGACUCCAGUGCCUUGAAGUGUGGGGCCCUGAGGAUACCAGAGCAGCACCAAGGCAUUCACUUGAGCCCUGAGUGAAGAACUGUCCUCCCCAGAAUGGGUGGGGACAAAUGACAGCCACUGACCCCCUACUGUGCAUCAGCUGCUCCUCAAAGAACCCCGAGAAAGCAUUUAGCCCCACGUUACAGAUGAAGAAACUGAGGCCCCACAACUAGUACAGCGUGAGGCUAGGAUCUGCCGGUCUCUGUAGCUCAGGGACAUGAACGCUGCCCUUUCUGCCCCCGGCUGCAGGCACACCCCUUUUACAGAGAAAAUGCAAAGCACCUGGGCUCCCUUCUUCAGUCGCUGAGACCCAGAACUGCCCAGUUCCAGGCUCUUAACAUGUCAUUGUGAGUGCAGAAACACUUUUGUUGAGGUGAAAAACAGAAAGUUCCCAA
ensembl:lncRNA novel transcript, antisense to NEURL1